rnacentral:rRNA from 1 species
AUUGAACGCUGGCGGCAUGCCUUACACAUGCAAGUCGAACGGCAGCACGGGAGCAAUCCUGGUGGCGAGUGGCGAACGGGUGAGUAAAGUAUCGGAACGUGCCCAGUCGUGGGGGAUAACGUAGCGAAAGUUACGCUAAUACCGCAUACGAUCUAUGGAUGAAAGCGGGGGAUCGCAAGACCUCGCGCGAUUGGAGCGGCCGAUAUCAGAUUAGGUAGUUGGUGGGGUAAAGGCUCACCAAGCCGACGAUCUGUAGCCGGUCUGAGAGGACGACCAGCCACGCUGGGACUGAGACACGGCCCAGACUCCUACGGGAGGCAGCAGUGGGGAAUUUUGGACAAUGGGCGAAAGCCUGAUCCAGCCAUGCCGCGUGCAGGAUGAAGGCCUUCGGGUUGUAAACUGCUUUUGUACGGAACGAAAAGGUUUGGCCUAAUAAGCUGAGCUCAUGACGGUACCGUAAGAAUAAGCACCGGCUAACUACGUGCCAGCCGCCGCAGUAA